AUAUCAAUAAGCGGAGGAAAAGAAACUAACAAGGAUUCCCCUAGUAACUGCGAGUGAAGCGGGAAAAGCUCAAAUUUAAAAUCUGGCGGUCCUUGUGGCUGUCCGAGUUGUAAUCUGGAGAAGUGUUUUCCGUGCUGGACCGUGUACAAGUCUCCUGGAACGGAGCGUCAUAGAGGGUGAGAAUCCCGUCUUUGACACGGACUGCCAGUACUUAUGUGAUACGCUCUCAACGAGUCGAGUUGUUUUGGGAAUGCAGCUCAAAAUGGGUGGUAAAUUCCAUCUAAAGCUAAAUAUUGGCGAGAGACCGAUAGCGAACAAGUACCGUGAGGGAAAGAUGAAAAGAACUUUGGAAAGAGAGUUUAAACAGUAC
rnacentral:rRNA from 1 species